rnacentral:misc_RNA from 1 species
UAUUAUAUUCAUUUUUUUUUGUUUUAUUUGUUAUUGAGUAUGUGUACUAGAAAAGCUGCAAAGGCUAUUUAUUUUGUUACUUUAAAAUGUUUGUAAUAUUCUGUCAAAUUAUCGAUGACUACGUUUAGCAACAUAUUCAACUAUCAUUUUAUUUCAAGAAAUACGUUGAAUUAGGAACCCUUAUUCUGGUGUUUGUGAAGCAAAGUUUUUUUCUAUCUCACUUCCCUGUAAUUUACAAAGAUGUGGUGGUGACACUUUAUAUCGUUUCAGUGAUCUUCUUUCUUCUAGAAGUCAUCGUGGAUCUCAAAAUUUGCUAAAAACUGAUCUUGCAGCAAAUAAAUUAAUUGACUGUAAAAUAUGUGGUAUGAAGUUCAAGAAAAAAUCUAAUUUAAGGGUUCAUGUCUUAAAACACAGAUUCAGUGAAAAUUUUGUCACACAUAUGGUUCAGGCUCAAAAUAUUUUUCAUUGUCAAAACUAUGUGAAUGAUCUAAAACAAACUGGCCAAAAAUUGUUUUAAGUUCCACUAUAUAGCAUUUAUAAAAAUUAUGUGAGUUGUCUUAAUUACUCAUUUUACCAGUUCACGAUAAAAUACUUUACCGGUUUGAGUAAAUUGGGUAAAGAAAUGCUAGGUUUUAUCCCAUUAUAACUAUCCUUCACACAAUUUGUUUAAUUGUAAUUAGUAUAUAUUUAACUUAUUUUGGAAUAAAUUCAAUAUUUAUUUAGUAUAGCAUUAAAUAAUUAAACGCAUCUGUAAUAAAGUGUACUGUAUAAAUUAAUUUAUUAAAAAUUUUACCUCUUAAUUGUGUCAACUUUGAAAGAAGUAAAGUGUAUCAAUUUAGUUCUUUUUAUCAAUUAUUUGAAUUAAAGCUAUAAAAUAACUUUGCAAUACUGUAAUUUAUUAGAGCAGCAUUUUCCAUUUUAAACUAAAGGAAAAAAACUUACUGUGUUAUAGUAUGAAAUAAACUAUUCAGUUUCUUUUUACAUGCAAGACCUAAACAUUAAUAUUUUUAAUAAUGGAUUUCAACUUAAUUUUUAGCAACUUUUGCACUUCUAAUUAUACCAAAAAUUUAAGAGAAAGGAUCCUUUGACAUAGUCAUGAUAAAAUUACACAAGGGUAUCUAAAACUAUAUCUUUAUAUUCUUUUUCCCCUCUUCCAUUGUUGAUUUAUAGUUUUCUAUAUACGUAAGCGGGAGG